GCCAGGCGUGGUGGCGCACGCUUGUAAUCCCAGCUACUCAGGAGGCUGAGGCAGGAGAAUUGCUUGAACCCGGGAGGCGGAGGCUGCAGUGAGCCGAGAUCUCGCCGCUGCACUCCAGCCUGGGCGACAGAGCAAGACUCUGUCUCAA
ensembl:misc_RNA Metazoa_SRP Metazoan signal recognition particle RNA